rnacentral:sRNA from 1 species
AAAUGAACGUCCAGCGGAUUAUUAAAAGAAACGCCGUUAAAGGAAAACAAAUCGAACGAUUGCGAUGUGCCUAGCAUGGACACACUUGACCUUAGAAGAAAUGUCGAAAUGUGACGAGAGUAAAUGGCAUUGAUCCAGAAUUUCAUUUACCUGCAUGUAAAAUACCCAUCGAAAUUUGUGUUGCUAACGUAAACUCCCCAAACUCAACCAAAAAUGGUUUCGUUUGUCACGAAAUUAUCAAUGCAUGCAAAAUUGGACAAUCAUUAUGGCAAUACAAAAAGAAGGCACAGUAAACAAAUGACAUGGAUUUUCUUGCAUAAUAUAAUCUCUUAAACUUCCGCAGUCAAAAUUAAAAAUUGAUAGGACUAACGAUCCAAAUGCAUACGCUUGAAUACAAGUAGAGAUGUAUAUGAAGAAUGCGAUUGCCGAAUAUUUCCUCAUUUCUGUCGCCAAGUUGCAUUAACUCAACCAUGAAAUUAUAAAUUUGUACUAAUAUUAAAAAAGCUGAUAAAUCUUUCGACAACCUUUGGCUCUGAAUAAUGGUCGAACAAAUGCACAUAUUCGGGAGACUACAUGCAAAGGAAUUGAAUCUAUAAAAGACAGACCAUAAUUUUGAACGGUUGUAAAGUCAAGCUCAUCAUUUUGGCUGUAUAUGAUUUUAAAAUUCGACAUAAUACUAGUAUUCUUAUAAAUGUUUAGCAAAUAUGGCAAACAGUGAGUCCAUUUUAGCGAAAGUUGUUUCAAUUUAAUUUAAUUGAAUUUCAAAGUGCUUAAUUACAUUUAAUAUUUAAGCUAUGUAUAUAUGGGGAUAAAAGUAGAUCAUUGGUAGUGAAUUCGGUCUGUAA